AGGAUGUCUAUGAUGAAAACAUAGUUCAGCUGAUCUUCUGUGAAGAACAGUCUUUCGCUCCUAUCUGAGUCAUCCU